rnacentral:rRNA from 1 species
GAUGAACGCUGGCGGCGUGCUUAACACAUGCAAGUCGAACGAUGAAGCCCAGCUUGCUGGGUGGAUUAGUGGCGAACGGGUGAGUAACACGUGAGUAACCUGCCCUUAACUCUGGGAUAAGCCUGGGAAACUGGGUCUAAUACCGGAUAGGAGCGUCCACCGCAUGGUGGGUGUUGGAAAGAUUUAUCGGUUUUGGAUGGACUCGCGGCCUAUCAGCUUGUUGGUGAGGUAAUGGCUCACCAAGGCGACGACGGGUAGCCGGCCUGAGAGGGUGACCGGCCACACUGGGACUGAGACAAGGACCAGACUCCUACGGGAGGCAGCAGUGGAGAAUAUUGCACAAUGGGCGCAAGCCUGAUGCAGCGACGCCGCGUGAGGGAUGACGGCCUUCGGGUUGUAAACCUCUUUCAGUAGGGAAGAAGCGAAAGUGACGGUACCUGCAGAAGAAGCACCGGCUAACUACGUG